rnacentral:lncRNA from 1 species
ACGGCUGCAGCCCUCACAGAUCUCCAUGUUGUCGAGCUCAGUGUGAUGAUCCGGGGACAGCUGACAUUAACUUUGUCCUUUGUUUUCACGGGCAUCUCUAGGAGGUGUGCCGGCUGUAGGACAGUGUCGCUCUUGUUUCUAGUUCACAGAAGGGGAAACCGAGGCUCUGAGAAUGAAGACUUUCCCAAGGACACCGUCACAGGCAGACUGAGGCAUGCGGCUGACCACAGCUGUCUUAGAAAUCCCCGGAGUCUACCCUACCCCGCCCUGAGCAAGGGUGUCUGGAGCUCUGACCUCAGAGCCACUGUCCUGUGACCUUCAAAGACCUUGAGCUGCUGAUCAAGCUUCUCAGAAGGGUGCUGAUUGUGAGUGAGAUUUUCUGUUUCUGGAAACAAAGAGGAGAUUCAGGUGCGCCAAUGGCUCUUACUUGGCAGAGGUUCCGGGCAGUUGGAGGGAGCUUCACGAUCCUGAUCACUGGCAAAGUGGAGGCAGCACGCAUGCGCGCACGCACACAGGAUCCCCAGGAAGGUGGGGACAGCUGAAGGCAAUUAUCACGAAAGAAACCAUUUCCAAGACGCUCUUUGUGAGGACCGAUAGGCAAGACCUCGGGGUUCCUCAUGCCCAGCAAAGAGUGUUUCUGACCUGGAAAGCUGAACCCCAACCUUCUGGUACACUUGGGCCACCAUGGCCCUGGAGCAGUUGAUUCUGGGUGCUAGGUGGGUCCUGGAGUCUUUCUCUUAACACUCCUGAAUGGUGGGAGCGUCCAGCACAGUGUCAACCACCCGACACAGGCUACUUACCAGAAGGCUUCUCAUGGAUUGGUGUCUCUAGGCCAUGGCACUGUAAUCAGCUUGGGUCUUACAUGGAGUUCCCAGGCCUGGGCAGCAGAUUAAACAGAGCACAGAGAACCAACAGCUCCAAGUUCCAAUCUACGUCUUCUCUCAGAAUCUCAGUCUUUCUCUCAUAUGGAAAACAGGAUAAUGCGGGAUCUCCAUGCUGCGCACCAAGGGCUUCCCAUCUGAGCCUCAUUCCCAAGUCCUCAGACAGAUACCUCUCUGUAGUAACUGACCAACAACCCCACUUCUUAAGCCCAAAGCGACGCUCAGCAGGGAAGAGCCAGGCAGGAAUCGACAAGGUCCAGAGCUCACCCUUCCCUAUCGUGGGCUCUUCUGCUUUUUCGGUUUCCAUGUUACGUUCGUUUGGAAACUCUGAAGAGCGCGCCCCCUACAGGGUUGUCAGUUGAACAUGGUAUCUAUGAGAGCGGGACAGGGAGAGAGGCCAUGCUGGAGGAAACACCGAGAUGGAUGUCAGCAGAUGGCGC